CUGGGCAGUGGGGAGUGGUGAGCUCCAUUGUGUACACUUGUAAGCAGCCCAGAAAGGUGAAGACCUGUUCGUGAACUCCAGAGGCCAUUGGAAGCGUGAAAGGCUAUGGCUGGCACUCUUCCUCUUUUUCCAGUUCACUGAGACAGAUGGGAGGCCCGGAGGAGAAAGAGUGAAGGAAGGCAUUUCAGCCCGAGUAAACUCCCCAGGCCCCCUCUGUGCCAGGCAGUGUUGCAAGCCUCGGCUUCUAGCACAGUGCUUUGUGCACAGUAAACACUCCAGCGGCUGUUGACCAAUGAAUGAAUGAAGAUUGUAGGCUCAAAUAUUCAAGUUAUCAAAGUGCAAAGAAUGAGAGGUUGUUUGCACUGGACUUCAAAAAUAAAUAGCCUGGACCUGUAACUGUCUUACACAACAGCUAUGAGCUACUGGUAUGUGGCUAGUCCAAACUGAAAUGGCCUUUAAGAGUAAAAUACACACUGGAUUUCAAAGACUUAGUACAAAGAAAAAAUGCAAAAUAGCUCAUUAGUAAUUUUUAUGUUAAUGACAUGUUGAAAUAACAUUUUGAUAUAUUGAGUUAAGUAAAAUAUAGUAUUAGAAUUAA
rnacentral:antisense_RNA from 1 species